CUUUCCACUGCUGUGGGAGUAUGUCUUUGUAGGUAUCUUUUGUCUGUUUUCUCAACUACAAAUAUCUUAGGACCAUGUGUUGUGACUGGCCAGGAAUGUGCCUUGCUAGUUUCAUGGUGGAGUUGAUUUUAAAAUGGUGUCACUCUGGCUGUCCUAGGCUCCUGGUUACGUAACACUUUCACUUCUCCUGCGAUUCUGAUGCUACAAAUGAUAGAUGUUUUAGUAUUUUCUUACAGGUCCUUGAGGUUGUAUUCAUUUUUCUGUCAGUCUCUUUCUCUGACUUGUUCAUAUUGAACAAUUUCUUUUUGUUUUGUUUUAGAGACAGAGUUUCACUCUGUUGCCCACGUUGGAGUGUAGUGGUGUAAUCAUAGCUCGCUGCAGCCUUGAACUCCUGGGCUCAAGGGAUCCUCCCUUCUCAGCAUUCACAGUAGCUAGGACUACAGGCAUGUAUCAUCACAUUCAGCUAUUUUUAAGGGUUUUUUUUUUUUUUUUUUUUUGACAGAGUCUUGCUCCUUUCGCCCAGGCUGGAGUAUAGCGGCAUGAUCUCAGCUCACUGCAACCUCCGCCUCCAGGGUUCAAGCAAUUCUCCUGCCUCAUUCACCCGAGUAGCUGGGAUUACAGGUGCCCACCACCAUGCCUGGCUAAAUUUUUGUAAUUUUUGUUGAGACAGGGUUUCACCAUGUUGGCCAGGCUGGUUUCGAACUCCUGACCUCAGGUGAUAUAUCCGCCUUGGCCUCCCAAAGUGUUGGGAUUACAGCCGUGAGCCACUGGACCUGGGCUGUUGUUUAUUUUUUAAUUUUUUUAUUUUUGUAGAGACGAGUCUCACUGUGUUGCCCAGGCUGGUCUCAAAUGCCUAGCCUCAAGCCAUCUAUCUUCUUACUUCAGCCUGCAAAAGUACUAGAAUUACUGGUAUAAGUCACUGCCCUUGGCCAGAUAGAACGAUUUCUAUUUAUCUCUUUGAGUUCACAAUCUCUUUUCUUGCCUCCAUUCUGCUAUUGAAUCCAUUCAGUGAGAAUUUAUUUCCUUGGUUAUUAUAUUUUCCGCUUCUAAAAUUUCCAUUUGUUUCUUCUUUAAAUAUUCUUUUUUUGUGCCAGGACUUUCUGUUUUUACUUGUUUCAAAAGUGUUCAUAAUUGCUUGUUUAAGCAUUUUUAAAAUAGCAUCUUUAAAGGCUUUGCCAGAUAAUCCCAACAUUUCUAUCUUAACAUUGGUGUCGGUGUUGUCUUUCCCCAUUUGAGUUCCCCUAUUUUCCUGGUUUUUCAUAUUCUGAGUAAUUUCAAUUUACAUGCUGGACAUUUUGAAUAUCAGGUUAUGAGACUCUUGAUCUUGUGUAAAUGCUAUGGGGUAAGUUCGUAUUUCUGUUUUAGCAGGUGGUCUACCUCUCUUCACAGGCAGCCACUAUGGUCCUUAUCACCAUGGUGGGGCCAGGGCAAGAAAGAGCCCUGGAGGGGAAGGGGGUUCAGUUGAAGAUGGAGUGAGUUUUGAAGGGAGCACUAUCUGAGGUAUUUGAGUCCCAGAGGCAUAGGUAACAGCCGAGGGAGGUCGGAUUCCAUUAACCUCAAUGGGGAUGGGAAUCGGGGGUUUCGGAUGUGGGAUUGGGAACUGCUGCCCUCUUCGCCCCCAUAGCCACGCAUGCUCCUUGGGCACCUGUCUCAGUGCGCAUGUUCACUGGGCGUCUUUCCGUCUGCCCCUUAGCCCACGUGGAGAACGCCAGGGAGCUGUGAGGAUGUGCCAUCACGUUUCUGCCGUCUGAACACUUUUUCCUCUACUGAGAUUCAUCUGUGUGAAAUGUGAGUUGGCGAGGAAGAUCAACCUAUCGGUCUAGACCAAGAAGCUAUGCAGAACCCCCUGAGGUGAUUGGGCCUAUGCUGUCCGAGCAGUUCAGUGAUGAAGAAGGGGAACCACCAAAACCUGAAGAAGGAGAACCAGCAAAUCAAAGUCCGGAUCCUGCACCUGCUCAGGAGGGAGAGGACGAGGGAGCAUCUGCAGCUCAAGGUCUGCUGGAGUUUGUUGGAGGUCCACUCCUGACCCUGUUUGCCUGGGUAUCACCAGCAGAGGCCUGCAGAACAGCAAAGAUUGCUGCCUGUUCCUUCCUCUGGGAAGCUUCGUCUCAGAGGGGCACCUGUCAGAUGCCAGCCGGAGCUCUCGUACAUGAGGUGAAAAGCUAUCACAGAGUUAAAAGAAGACAAGCUGAAAUGAUGCAGGCUGCUCCUACGCUGGAAAUUUGUUCAUUAAAAUUCUCCCAAUAAAGCUUUACAGCCUUCUGCAAAGAAGUCUUGCGCAUCUUUUUGUGAAAUGUGAGUUGGCGAGGAAGAUCAACCUAUCGGUCUAGACCAAGACGCUAUGUAGAGCCUCCUGAAAUGAUUGGGCCUAUGCGACCCGAGCAGUUCAGUGAAGAAGAAGUGGAACCACCACAACCUGAAGAAGGGGAACCAGCAACUCAAAGUCAGGAUCCUGCACCUGCUCAGCAGGGAGAGGAUGAAGGAGCAUCUGCAGGUCAAGGCAUUGUGAAGACCCUGUUUCUCUAGUUGUGCGGCUGCAAGGUCACUAGACAGAUAAUCUCAAGUCGUAAAACAUGUUGUUCCUUGAAAAGUAAGAAAUAAUGUAAUGCAUGUUUCAAUUGAGUAACUGUAUUUGUUUCUCACUUCUGUAAUACACUUCCCCUGCACAGAUCUCCCCUUGCCCCACGAAAUGCUUAGAAGAUAGCUUGACUCUUUGUUUGGGGCUCAGUCCUUUGGAUGUUAAUCCGACUAGGUCGGUGCAUUAAAUAAUUAAAUAAUUCCUCCUCAACCCCUCGGUCUCUCUGAUUCCUUAAUUAUCCUGCAGCAUUUCUGGUGACCCGGACGGGGAUUGGAGAUGACAGAUUUACUGUCUCCUUUGCCUGUGGGACUAGAGCCCCAGGGCCGGGGGAGACCUCGUAUCCAAGGCGUGCUGUAGGGGAGCUUCACCUGGAUGGAGACUGGCUCUCCCCGCAUCCCAGUGGCCUAGCUGGCUGCACAACGGAACUGGAGACGGGGCUGCAGCAUGAUACCAGCACUUCAGGAACCACAUUGCAGGUGUCACACCUUGGAUUCACCAUAGCCGGCUGAAACCAGUGGCAGCAGUGACUCCUGACGAUGACCAGUGGAUUAGCCAACAAGACCCAGAUUGCCCCACCCGAAUGAUCCUACGGUGAAACCCAACCACCAGUAAGAAGGACGACUGCUCUGCUCUGACCACACCAGAGGCUGAUCAGUCUACACACGGCUGAAGCUUGAGGAUCCUACAAGCUCUGCUCUAGUCACAUCCUGGAAGCUGACUAGUCUAUGCACAGCCAAAGCUAAGAGGACCAUCUCUGGAUAAUUAAAUUGAGCCUUAUCUCUCCCUUUCCCAGGCAUUGUGAAGACUGUUUCUCUAGCUGUGCAGCAGUAAGGUCACUAGACAGAUAAUCUCAAGUCGUAAAACAUGUUGUUCCUUGAAAGGGCUGGAGCCUGAAGCUGAUAGCCAGGAACCGGUUCACCCAAAGACUGAGUGUGAGUGUGGAGAUGGUCCUGAUGGGAAGGAGACAGGCCUGCCAAAUCCAGAGGAGAUGAAAAUGCCUGAAGAAGGUGAAAAGCAAUCACAGUGUUAAAAGAAGACACGCUGAAAUGAUGCAGGCUGCUCCUAUGUUGGAAAUUUGUUCAUUAAAAUCCUCCCAAUAAAGCUUUACAGCCUUCUGCAAAGAA